rnacentral:lncRNA from 1 species
GUUUGAUGAAAUGAUUUAAAUUCACUUGAUCAUUUUUUUGAAGAAUUACAAAUGUUACAAAAAACGUACAAUGACUUAGAGGACUAUUAUUCUCUUUUGAGGAUAGUAAGAAAUGAUAUAGAAAAAAUGAUAAGCAACUUCUCGUCUGCACCUGAUUUUUUCCCAAUACAAAAAGACGCUAAAGCUGGAGUUAUUAAAAAAAGUAAAAAAAUUCCUAAAUAGCGUAAUACACCAUAUUAAAAAUAUCGAAUACGAUAAAGUAAUCAUAUAUUUUUAUUCAUUUUUGAAGAAAGAUGUAAUAAUACUACUGAUAUUUGUAAAUUGUCGUUUUCUUAAGAAUUUUUUUCAUUAAUAUUUUUUAUCAAUAAAAUCAUUUUCGAUCCCUU